rnacentral:rRNA from 1 species
UGCCAGCCGCCGCGGUAAUACGAAGGGACCUAGCGUAGUUCGGAAUUACUGGGCUUAAAGAGUUCGUAGGUGGUUGAAAUAGUUGGUGGUGAAAUCCCAGAGCUUAACUCUGGAACUGCCAUCAAAACUUUUCAGCUAGAGUAUGAUAGAGGAAAGCAGAAUUUUUAAUGUAGGGGUAAGAUCUGAUAAAAUUAAAAAGAAAACCAAAGGCGAAGGCAUUUAGCUGGAAUAAACUGACGCUAAGGUACGAAAGAAUGGGGAGCGAACAGGAUUAGAUA